UAGGGAAUCUUCGGCAAUGGGGGCAACCCUGACCGAGCAACGCCGCGUGAGUGAAGAAGGUUUUCGGAUCGUAAAGCUCUGUUGUAAGUCAAGAACGGGUGUGAGAGUGGAAAGUUCACACUGUGACGGUAGCUUACCAGAAAGGGACGGCUAACUACGUGCCAGCAGCCGCGGUAAUACGUAGGUCCCGAGCGUUGUCCGGAUUUAUUGGGCGUAAAGCGAGCGCAG
rnacentral:rRNA from 1 species